AAUUGCAAACCAAGAUAAAUCUUUUUUCUUUAUAAGAAAAUUAUCUCAGAUAUUUUGUCAUAGUGAUAGAAAGCUGACUAGCACAUAGGCCAAGAGCCAAAGUAUGCGGGUGACCUUUGGAAGCAGGGAAAGGCAAGGAAAUGGAUUCUCCGCUGGAGUCCCCAGAAGGAACACAGCCUUGCUGAUUCAUUUUGCUCUUCUGACAUCUAGGAGCUAACACGUUUGUGUCAUUUUAAGCCUCAAAGUUCAGGGGGAACAUAUUACAAGAGCACGAGGGAUUCUACACUGCUUCAAGAGCAGCUGAUGCCUGAUGGGUACAGGGCAACUGGAGAAGAGGGAGCCAGGCAGAACCCAGCCUGGAAGGAACACGGUUGGAGUCUUGCAGAAGCUGGCCUCAUCUCCUGACUUGAUGGCAGAAGGAGUCACUGCAGCAGCCCACCCUGCAUUUACCACUUCCAGCUGCCCGCUUCCACAUCUGUGGUUGUUUUCUGGCAUUCUCUUUUUCUUGCCAUCUCCACAGAUGGAUCAGAAUUGAGCUGAUGGAAGUUAAGUCUCACCCCAGCUCCUCACUGAGAUUCCUGAAUUUGCCUUACAAGUUAGCAACCAGUUCCCCAAUUCUUAUCUUCCACCAUGCUUUGGGAAGGAGUGACCAAAACUGGCUUCAAGCAAAGUGUAACAGCUUCCAACAGUUUUCCAAGACAAGGUGAGAGAGGAUAAAGGAAGUCUGUGGAAGGAUCUUGGAAUAUGUCUUGGUGGAAGUGUAAUUUUCUAUGGGUG
rnacentral:lncRNA from 1 species